AACGAACGCUGGCGGCAUGCCUAACACAUGCAAGUCGAACGAGACCUUCGGGUCUAGUGGCGCACGGGUGCGUAACACGUGGGAAUCUGCCCUUGGGUUCGGAAUAACAGUUAGAAAUGACUGCUAAUACCGGAUGAUGUCGAAAGACCAAAGAUUUAUCGCCCAAGGAUGAGCCCGCGUAGGAUGAGGUAGUUGGUGGGGUAAAGGCCUACCAAGCCGACGAUCCUUAGCUGGUCUGAGAGGAUGAUCAGCCACACUGGGACUGAGACACGGCCCAGACUCCUACGGGAGGCAGCAGUGGGGAAUAUUGGACAAUGGGCGAAAGCCUGAUCCAGCAAUGCCGCGUGAGUGAUGAAGGCCUUAGGGUUGUAAAGCUCUUUUACCAGGGAUGAUAAUGACAGUACCUGGAGAAUAAGCUCCGGCUAACUCCGUGCCAGCCGCCGCAGUAACAC
rnacentral:rRNA from 1 species